GAUGAACGCUGGCGGCAUGCCUAAUACAUGCAAGUCGAGCGAACAGACGAGGAGCUUGCUCCUCUGACGUUAGCGGCGGACGGGUGAGUAACACGUGGAUAACCUACCUAUAAGACUGGGAUAACUUCGGGAAACCGGAGCUAAUACCGGAUAAUAUAUUGAACCGCAUGGUUCAAUAGUGAAAGACGGUUUUGCUGUCACUUAUAGAUGGAUCCGCGCCGCAUUAGCUAGUUGGUAAGGUAACGGCUUACCAAGGCAACGAUGCGUAGCCGACCUGAGAGGGUGAUCGGCCACACUGGAACUGAGACACGGUCCAGACUCCUACGGGAGGCAGCAGUAGGGAAUCUUCCGCAAUGGGCGAAAGCCUGACGGAGCAACGCUGCGUGAGUGAUGAAGGUCUUCGGAUCGUAAAACUCUGUUAUUAGGGAAGAACAAAUGUGUAAGUAACUAUGCACGUCUUGACGGUACCUAAUCAGAAAGCCACGGCUAACUACGUG
rnacentral:rRNA from 1 species